CUCCUUAGCAGAGGGGAGUAGCUGCUCCGGACAACGUCAACAUACUGGCAAAAGCCUGGCGUUGUCGGCAAGAUCAUGCUCAGCGAGACUUUUGCACCGAUGGUGCAAAGGUCUUUUUUUUUCCCAGGAGUCU
rnacentral:sRNA from 2 species